rnacentral:lncRNA from 1 species
CUGCCAUGUUCCCUGGUGGAGGUGAAUUUCGGUUGAACCUUCAGCCAUGAAGCUCCUUCACCUUGUCUUUACAUUUCUCUGUCUGAUGAUGCUGGUUGUUCCAGGUUUUUCUGAAAUAGGUGUCAAGCAAUGCAACGCCAUCGGGGGAAUUUGUUUGAAAUCCUUCUGUCCACUUGGUUACGUGCAGAUUGGAAGCUGUACAUCGAAAUAUCCUUGCUGCUGGCGAGAAGAAAGCUCCAGGAAAAGAGGAGCAUGAUAUAUAUUUGCAGAUGAAAAACAGAUUGGAGACCAAGCUGGAAAAUGUGACCACGCCGCAUCACUGACAUCCUCCGCUGUGAAAUUCUGAUGGAUUAAAAGUUUGGAAAUCUUACGGGGCAGAGACAUGCGAUUAACUGAUGCCUGAA